GGUUAAGUGAAUAAGGGCGCACGGUGGAUGCCUUGGCACUAGGAGCCGAUGAAGGACGGGACUAACACCGAUAUGCUUUGGGGAGCUGUAAGUAAGCUAUGAUCCAGAGAUUUCCGAAUGGGGGAACCCAAUAUCUUUUAUAGGAUAUUACUUUUCAGUGAAUACAUAGCUGAUUAGAGGUAGACGCAGAGAACUGAAACAUCUUAGUACCUGCAGGAAGAGAAAGAAAAUUCGAUUCCCUGAGUAGCGGCGAGCGAAACGGGAAGAGCCCAAACCAACAAGCUUGCUUGUUGGGGUUGUAGGACUCCAAUAUGGUAGUCUGUUAGUAUAGUUGAAGGAUUUGGAAAAUUCCGCUAAAGAGGGUGAAAGCCCCGUAGACGAAAUGCUGACAACACCUAGGAGGAUCCUGAGUACGGCGGAACACGAGAAAUUCCGUCGGAAUCCGCGGGGACCAUCCCGCAAGGCUAAAUACUCCCUAGUGACCGAUAGUGAACCAGUACCGUGAGGGAAAGGUGAAAAGCACCCCGGAAGGGGAGUGAAAUAGAUCCUGAAACCGUGUGCCUACAACAAGUCAAAGCUCGUUAAUGAGUGAUGGCGUGCCUUUUGUAGAAUGAACCGGCGAGUUACGAUUGCAUGCGAGGUUAAGUCGAAGAGACGGAGCCGCAGCGAAAGCGAGUCUGAAUAGGGCGAAUGAGUAUGUAGUCGUAGACCCGAGACCAUGUGAUCUACCCAUGUCCAGGUUGAAGGUGCGGUAAAACGCACUGGAGGACCGAACCCACGUACGUUGAAAAGUGCGGGGAUGAGGUGUGGGUAGCGGAGAAAUUCCAAACGAACUUGGAGAUAGCUGGUUCUCUCCGAAAUAGCUUUAGGGCUAGCCUCGGAAUUGAGAAUGAUGGAGGUAGAGCACUGUUUGGACUAGGGGCCCAUCUCGGGUUACCGAAUUCAGAUAAACUCCGAAUGCCAUUCAUUUAUAUCCGGGAGUCAGACUGCGAGUGAUAAGAUCCGUAGUCGAAAGGGAAACAGCCCAGACCACCAGCUAAGGUCCCAAAAUAUAUGUUAAGUGGAAAAGGAUGUGGGGUUGCACAGACAACUAGGAUGUUGGCUUAGAAGCAGCCACCAUUUAAAGAGUGCGUAAUAGCUCACUAGUCGAGUGACCCUGCGCCGAAAAUGUACCGGGGCUAAACAUAUUACCGAAGCUGUGGACUACACCAUUAGGUGUAGUGGUAGGAGAGCGUUCUAAGGGCGUUGAAGGUCGAUCGUGAGGACGGCUGGAGCGCUUAGAAGUGAGAAUGCCGGUAUGAGUAGCGAAAGACAGGUGAGAAUCCUGUCCACCGUAUGACUAAGGUUUCCUGGGGAAGGCUCGUCCGCCCAGGGUUAGUCGGGACCUAAGCCGAGGCCGAUAGGCGUAGGCGAUGGACAACAGGUUGAUAUUCCUGUACCAGUUGUUUUUGUUUGAGCAAUGGAGGGACGCAGUAGGCUAAGGAAUGCAUGCGAUUGGAAGUGCAUGUCCAAGCAAUGAGUCUUGAGUAGAGUUAAAUGCUUUACUCUUUAAGGACAAGUUGUGAUGGGGAGCGAAAUAAUAGUAGCGAAGUUCCUGAUGUCACACUGCCAAGAAAAGCUUCUAGUGAGAAAACAACUGCCCGUACCGUAAACCGACACAGGUAGUCGAGGAGAGUAUCCUAAGGUGAGCGAGCGAACUCUCGUUAAGGAACUCGGCAAAAUGACCCCGUAACUUCGGGAGAAGGGGUGCUGACUUCGGUCAGCCGCAGUGAAUAGGCCCAAGCGACUGUUUAUCAAAAACACAGGUCUCUGCAAAAUCGUAAGAUGAAGUAUAGGGGCUGACGCCUGCCCGGUGCUGGAAGGUUAAGAGGAUGGGUUAGCUUCGGCGAAGCUCAGAAUUGAAGCCCCAGUAAACGGCGGCCGUAACUAUAACGGUCCUAAGGUAGCGAAAUUCCUUGUCGGGUAAGUUCCGACCCGCACGAAAGGCGUAACGAUUUGGGCACUGUCUCAACGAGAGACUCGGUGAAAUUUUAGUACCUGUGAAGAUGCAGGUUACCCGCGACAGGACGGAAAGACCCCAUGGAGCUUUAC
rnacentral:rRNA from 1 species